AACAAGAAUGUGUCCUCAGUACACGAAUGCCCCACUCGCACUAUCAUUUUCUAUGUUCAGUGGACCGUGAAAUUGGGGUAAAUCUCUAAUUUGGCAUUAAAAUUAGAAAGAUCAUAUCAUAGGGAACAUGUGUACUAAGUUUGAAGUCGAUUGGACUUCAACUUCAUCAAAAACUACCUCGACCAAAAACUUUAACCUGAAGCGGGAC
rnacentral:lncRNA from 1 species